GGGCUGGGGCUCAGUGGUAGAGCACUCGCCUAGCACAUGUGAGGCACUGGGUUCAAUCCUCAGCACCACA
rnacentral:tRNA from 1 species